rnacentral:lncRNA from 1 species
AUUUCUUCCUCAUUUUAGAUCUGAUUUUAUCAAAUCUUACACAAUAGUUGAAGUCCUUCAAGUCAGCUUUCUAAUUCCACCUUCCGAUUGUUAAAUGCCUUUCUACAAUUUUUUGUAUGCUUGAAAGAGUGACAGUAGGUACAAAUUUCACAUCUAGACUUUAAACAGCCAUAUCUCUCUCAUUGCAGAUUCAAAGUUAACAAUCCUUGCAUGAAAAUUGUAUUGCUUCAAACCAGCUUUCCAAUGAAACCUUUUGUUUUCUAGAAAACCUUUACAACUUUCUGUAUGCUUAAAAGAGUAACAAUCAGUAAACAAUUCACACCCUAACUUCAAACAACCUUAACUUCUUCAUACAAAACUCAAAUAACAAACUUUAUACACCAAAAUUAUAGCCCAAAAUACAAGCU